UAAAAACGCCCUGGAAGACAAGUGUGAUGCAUUGAGGUCUGUGAAAGCCACAAAGGAAGCAAAAGUCAAACAGCUGAAGGAGAAAGCACAUAACCUGGAAGAAUUCUAUGAACAAAGAAAAGUGCCUACAAAAAAGAAGCUGAAAAUGACACUGUGAACUGGUGGCAAAGAAGAAUCAGCUGGCAGCUGCAGGCAACAAAUUGAACAAACACGGGAACAGCUGCAGCAGGCAGAGCUCACCUUUAGAUACCAGGUAACCUGAGUUCUGCCUGACAUACUGAACCCUUAGCACCUCACGCGGGUGAGUGUAGUGGCCCUUGGAAUCCCUGACCACGGGCUUUUCAUUGUUGGCUUUUUCAGCUUGCAGUUCAUGAGAAGAAUGCUCAGGACAACUAGGUAAGUGUUUUCUUGUUUCCUCCUCUUUCUUUGGUGCACAGUGUGGCACCACCUUCCGACUGAAGGUGGAUGUGUUUUUUCUCCCCCAGAUCAAGACUCAGAUCUGGGACAGGGAGAUGGCGGAGCAG